GCAGUCGAGCGAAUGGAUUAAGAGCUUGCUCUUAUGAAGUUAGCGGCGGACGGGUGAGUAACACGUGGGUAACCUGCCCAUAAGACUGGGAUAACUCCGGGAAACCGGGGCUAAUACCGGAUAACAUUUUGAACUGCAUGGUUCGAAAUUGAAAGGCGGCUUCGGCUGUCACUUAUGGAUGGACCCGCGUCGCAUUAGCUAGUUGGUGAGGUAACGGCUCACCAAGGCAACGAUGCGUAGCCGACCUGAGAGGGUGAUCGGCCACACUGGGACUGAGACACGGCCCAGACUCCUACGGGAGGCAGCAGUAGGGAAUCUUCCGCAAUGGACGAAAGUCUGACGGAGCAACGCCGCGUGAGUGAUGAAGGCUUUCGGGUCGUAAAACUCUGUUGUUAGUGA
rnacentral:rRNA from 1 species